AGGAAGAAGCUUGCUUCUUUGCUGACGAGUGGCGGACGGGUGAGUAAUGUCUGGGAAACUGCCUGAUGGAGGGGGAUAACUACUGGAAACGGUAGCUAAUACCGCAUAACGUCGCAAGACCAAAGAGGGGGACCUUCGGGCCUCUUGCCAUCGGAUGUGCCCAGAUGGGAUUAGCUAGUAGGUGGGGUAACGGCUCACCUAGGCGACGAUCCCUAGCUGGUCUGAGAGGAUGACCAGCCACACUGGAACUGAGACACGGUCCAGACUCCUACGGGAGGCAGCAGUGGGGAAUAUUGCACAAUGGGCGCAAGCCUGAUGCAGCCAUGCCGCGUGUAUGAAGAAGGCCUUCGGGUUGUAAAGUACUUUCAGCGGGGAGGAAGGGAGUAAAGUUAAUACCUUUGCUCAUUGACGUUACCCGCAGAAGAAGCACCGGCUAACUCCGUGCCAGCAGCCGCGGUAAUACGGAGGGUGCAAGCGUUAAUCGGAAUUACUGGGCGUAAAGCGCACGCAGGCGGUUUGUUAAGUCAGAUGUGAAAUCCCCGGGCUCAACCUGGGAACUGCAUCUGAUACUGGCAAGCUUGAGUCUCGUAGAGGGGGGUAGAAUUCCAGGUGUAGCGGUGAAAUGCGUAGAGAUCUGGAGGAAUACCGGUGGCGAA
rnacentral:rRNA from 1 species